rnacentral:SRP_RNA from 2 species
GCUGGGCAUGGUGGCUCAUGCCUGUAAUCCCAGCACUCUGGGAGGCUGAGGUGGGUGGAUUGCCUGAGGUCAGGAGUUCGAGACCAGCCUGGCCAACAUGGCGAAACCCCAACUCUA